rnacentral:rRNA from 1 species
UACGUAGGGGGCAAGCGUUGUCCGGAAUUACUGGGCGUAAAGGGCGCGUAGGCGGAUAGUUUAGUCAGAGGUAAAAGCCCAGGGCUCAACCUUGGAACUGCCUUUGAUACUGGCUAUCUUGAGUUCGGGAGAGGUGAGUGGAAUGCCGAGUGUAGAGGUGAAAUUCGUAGAUAUUCGGCGGAACACCAGUGGCGAAGGCGACUCACUGGCCCGAUACUGACGCUGAGGCGCGAAAGCGUGGGGAGCAAACAGG